GAUGGAGGGUUUGAUCCUGGCUCAGGAUGAACGCUGGCGGCGUGCUUAAUACAUGCAAGUCGAGCGAUCGGACGAGGGGGCUUGCUCCCUCGUUACGGAGCGGCGAACGGGUGAGUAACACGUGAGCAAUCUGCCUCGGAGACGGGGAUAACGUUGGGAAACCAGCGCUAAUACCCGAUGACCCGGCAGGGGGGCAUCCCCCGGCCGGCAAAUGUUCCGGCGCUCCGAGAGGAGCUCACGGCCUAUCAGCUUGUUGGCGGGGUAAUGGCCCACCAAGGCUUCGACGGGUAUCUGGCGUGAGAGCGCGACCAGACACACCGGGACUGAGAUACGGCCCGGACUCCUACGGGAGGCAGCAGUAGGGAAUAUUGGACAAUGGGCGAAAGCCUGAUCCAGCGACGCCGCGUGAGGGAUGAAGGCCUUCGGGUUGUAAACCUCUGUUGUUGGGAAAGAAGCCGGGUGCAUAACCCGGUGACGGUACCCAACGAGGAAGCCCCGGCUAACUACGUGCCAGCAGCCGCGGUGAGACGUAGGGGGCGAGCGUUAUCCGGAUUCACUGGGCGUAAAGGGCGCGUAGGCGGUUACGCAAGUCGGAUGUGAAAAGUCACGGCUCAACUGUGAUCGUGCAUCCGAUACUGCGUUGACUUGAGGUCGGUAGAGGCAAGUGGAACUAGCGGUGUAGCGGUGAAAUGCGCAGAUAUCGCUAGGAACGCCGGUGGCGAAGGCGAUUUGCUGGGCCGUACCUGACGCUGAUGCGCGAAAGCUAGGGGAGCGAACCGGAUUAGAUACCCGGGUAGUCCUAGCCGUAAACGGUGGGUGCUAGGUGUGGGGGGCGUAUGUCCCUCUGUGCCGUAGCUAACGCAUUAAGCACCCCGCCUGGGGAGUACGACCGCAAGGUUAAAACUCAAAGGAAUUGACGGGGGCCCGCACAAGCGGCGGAGCGCGUGGCUCAAUUCGAUGCAAAGCGCAGAACCUUACCAGGGCUUGACAUGCUGGAAGUAGAACCCCGAAAGGGGAACGACCCGUUGAAUCGGGAACCAGUACAGGUGCUGCAUGGCUAAUCAAACAAGAGGACGAUUGGCCCCCGGAGGAGCAAUCCUCCGCGGAAACACCGGCUCAUAUCGGUGAAGCCCUUCCUGUCACAGGUGAUUACUAAUCUGUGAAGCGUGCGGGUAAUACCGAGGGAAGUUCGCGACAGUGCAUUCGUCAGAGACACAACCGACGCGUACGCACUCGGUCUGUGGUGCGCCGAUUCUUAUUGGUGGUCGAGCAGCAUCGCCUUGUACACACCGCCCGUCACGUCCUGAAAGUGGGCAAUACGUGAAGCCAGUGGCCCAACCCGCAAGGGAGGGAGCUGUCGAGCGUAGGGUUCGCGAUUGGGACGAAGUCGUAAG
rnacentral:rRNA from 1 species